UAAGUAGAUAUAUUAUAAGGUUUCUGCACUG
rnacentral:piRNA from 1 species